GAUGGGGAAACGGGGAGUAGGAGAAGGAAAAAGCUAGCCCUUUCCGGCUGCCCGGAUCCGCUGAGCACAAAACUCACCUACAUUGCCAUUCUGGUCUCUCGACUCUCGCAAGACAGGUCAAUGGUCCUGGCUCCUACAUGAGAUCCCAACACCUAGAAGAUGGAGGCAGGAAGAUCAAGCAUUCCACGUCAGUCGUGGUCACGAUAGGCCUUGUAGCCUUUAUCUAACUCCAGGCCCACAACCCGCAUAGAUCUGCCUCCUGUGCCUUUCACCCGUCUGUCUUCCUGCAGUGUGCCUCCAGAAUCAUGGCCCAGACUCUCACUGCCAUCACGCCAGCUUUGUGUUUUGUUUGGUUUGGUUUUGCUUUGAGACAAGGUGUCACCGUGUAGACUAGGCUGGCUUUCCCCGUUUUACGCAUGCUGGGACUUUCCUUCUUCUUUUUCUGAUGGUCUCUAACGACAUCUUCAGCUCCCUAGACGUAUAGGAAUACAUUCCCUAUGUCUUAAUGAUU